CUCUGCAGAUGGGGACCAGGUAGCCAUUCUUACUGAAACUCCCAAGGUGACUGUACUGUGAAAUCAGGCCCGAGAAACACCAGUUCAGAUCAAGAUGCAGGUCUGAGGAUACAGACAGACCUGGAAGAGGAAAAGAAAUGGAGCAACGACAGAUGAAACACCACGCUGUUUGCUUGUUUGAAUGUGGAAUUCUGCCAUGGUGGACGCGAACCCAGAAUGUCACAUAAAUGGAACCAUAUCAUACACAGAAUUUGGACUCUGGCUUCAACAUUUGUAUACAGGUUUUUUAUGUGAACAUAAGUUUUCGUUUCUCUGGGAUAAAUGCCCGGGAGUACAAUUGCCAGGUUAAAUGAUUGUUGGUUAUUUGGGUUUUAAAGAAACCACUAAACUGUUUUCCAGAGAGGCUGCACUAUUUCACAUUCUCACUGGCUAUGUGGGAGUGAUGCAGCUUUGAUUUAUUUUUUUUAAAUUUCAGUGUUUAAACUGCUGAAAUUCACCAGGAGAUACACUCAGAGACUCACUAGGUUUGAAAUGUAUGGGCUGUUAAGAAUGUUUUACUUUUGGAGACUCCACUCCAAAACUGCUAGA